rnacentral:rRNA from 1 species
GACGAACGCUGGCGGCGUGCUUAACACAUGCAAGUCGUACGGUAAGGCCCUUUCGGGGGUACACGAGUGGCGAACGGGUGAGUAACACGUGAGUAACCUGCCCACCACUUUGGGAUAACGCUAGGAAACUGGUGCUAAUACUGGAUAUGUGCUCCUGCUGCAUGGUGGGGGUUGGAAAGCUCCGGCGGUUGUGGGUGGACUCGCGGCCUAUCAGCUUGUUGGUUGGGUAGUGGCCUACCAAGGCGGCGACGGGUAGCCGGCCUGAGAGGGUGACCGGCCACAUUGGGACUGAGAGACGGCCCAGACUCCUACGGGAGGCAGCAGUGGGGAAUGUUGCACAAUGGGCGCAAGCCUGAUGCAGCAACGCCGCGUGCGGGACGACGGCCUUCGGGUUGGAAACCGCUUUCAGCAGGGACGAAGCUUUUUGUGACGGUACCUGCAGAAGAAGCACCGGCUAACUACGUG